CAACUCUCAACAACGGAUAUCUUGGCUCUUGCAACGAUGAAGAACGCAGCGAAAUGCGAUACGUAAUGUGAAUUGCAGAAUUCCGUGAAUCAUCAAAUGUUUGAACGCAUAUUGCGCCUAAGGCUUCGGCCAAGGGCAUGCCUGCUUGAGCGCC
rnacentral:rRNA from 1 species